rnacentral:rRNA from 1 species
CUCUACGGCCAUACCACCCUGAACAUACCCGAUCUCGUCUGAUCUCGGAAGCUAAGCAGGGUCAGUCCUGGUUAGUACUUGGAUGGGAAAUAAUCUGUACACAGAUAAGACUCCAUAGACA